GGGCUUGUAGCACAGUGGUUAGCGCGCACGCUUUGCAUGCGUGAGGUCAAGGGUUCAAAUCCCUUCUAGUCCA
rnacentral:tRNA from 1 species